ensembl:lncRNA
CAGGUGGGUGUUGGGCAGAGCCCCUAGGUCCUGGAGGACAUCAGGUGGGUGUUGGGCAGAGCCCCUAGGUCCUGGAGGACAUCAGGUGGGUGUUGGGCAGAGCCCCUAGGUCCUGGAGAACAGGUAACGGAGGACAUCGGUGGAUCUGGGUGUUGGGUUGAACCCCCUAGGUCCUGGAGAACAUCAGUUGGGUUUGGGUGUUGGGCAGAACCCCCUAGGUCCUGGAGAACAUCAGUUGGGUCUGGGUGUUGGGUUGAACCCCCUAGGUCCUGGAGAACAUCAGUUGGGUCUGGGUGUUGGGCAGAACCCCCUAGGUCCUGGAGAACAUCAGGUGGGUGUUGGGCAGAACCCCUAGGUCCUGGAGAACAGGUAACGGAGGACAUCGGUGGAUCUGGGUGUUGGGUUGAACCCCCUAGGUCCUGGAGAACAUCAGUUGGGUUUGGGUGUUGGGCAG